rnacentral:misc_RNA from 1 species
GGAAUAUUGCACAAUGGGGGAAACCCUGAUGCAGCGACGCCGCGUGAGCGAAGAAGGUUUUCGAAUCGUAAAGCUCUGUCCUAUGAGAAGAUAAUGACGGUAUCAUAGGAGGAAGCCCCGGCUAAAUACGUGCCAGCAGCCGCGGUAAUACGUAUGGGGCGAGCGUUGUCCGGAAUUAUUGGGCGUAAAGGGUACGUAGGCGGCCUUUUAAGUCAGGUGUGAAAGCGUGAGGCUUAACCUCAUUAAGCACUUGAAACUGGAAGGCUUGAGUGAAGGAGAGGAAAGUGGAAUUCCUAGUGUAGCGGUGAAAUGCGUAGAUAUUAGGAGGAAUACCGGUGGCGAAGGCGACUUUCUGGACUUUUACUGACGCUCAGGUACGAAAGCGUGGGGAGCAAACAGGA